rnacentral:rRNA from 1 species
AUCGCUCGCGAUGUUUAACUGACAUGUUUCGUGCGACGUCCUACCGGUGGGCUUAGCUCCCUUGGGGGCGGUCCAACUAAUAUCCCAUCGCGGUGCUCUUAAUUGAGUGUCGAGGUGGGCCGGUACGUUUACUUUGAACAAAUUAGAGUGCUUAAAGCAGGCUAUCAUUCGCCUGAAUACUGUGUGCAUGGAAUAAUGGAAUAGGACCUCGGUUC